UUAUGUCCUCUAAAGAGCCGUUCGAGACUAGGACGUUGAUAGGUUGGAUGUGGAAGCAUAGUGAUAUGUGAAGCUGACCAAUACUAAUUGCUCGUGAGGCUUGACUAUACAACACCCAAGCAGUUG
rnacentral:rRNA from 1 species